rnacentral:rRNA from 1 species
GCCUAGUCGAACGAACAGAACUAUGUCUGUUAGUGGCAUACUGCUCAGUAACACGUAGCUAACCUACCCUUAGGACGUUUAUACCCCCGAGAAAUUGGGGCUAAUGAACGAUAGAUGUGAUGUCCUGGAAUGGUAUUACGUCUAAAAGUAUAUCAUACAUGUUUGAUAUACGCCUAAGGACGGGGCUGCGGCUGAUCAGGCUGUUGGUGAGGUAAUGGCUCACCAAACCAUUGACCAGUACGGGCCAUGAGAGUGGUAGCCCGGAGAUGGACACUGAGACAAGGGUCCAGGCCCUACGGGGCGCAGCAGGCGCGAAACCUCCUCAAUGCACUAAAGUGCGAAGGGGUUACCUCGAGUGCCAUCUGAUGAAGGUGGCUUUUCCUUGGUCUAAAAAGCCUAGGGAAUAAGAGGGGGGCAAGACUGGUGUCAGCCGCCGCGGUAACACCAGCCCCUCGAGUGGUGGGGAUGAUUAUUUGGCCUAAAGCGUCCGUAGCCGGCCGGGUAAGUUUCCCGUUAAAUCCAACGUCUCAAGCGUUGGACUGCGGGAAAUACUGCCUGGCUAGAGAGUGGGAGAGGUCAGCGGUAUUCUGGGGGUAGGGGCGAAAUCCUUUGAUCCCCGGAGGACCACCAGUGGCGAAGGCUGCUGACUAGAACACGUCUGACGGUCAGGGACGAAAGCUGGGGUAGCGAACCGGAUUAGAUACCCGGGUAGUCCCAGCCGUAAACGAUGCAUGCUAGGUGUUGGGUUGGCCACGAGCCACCCCAGUGCCGCAGGGAAGCCGUUAAGCAUGCCGCCUGGGAAGUACGAUCGCAAGAUUGAAACUUAAAGGAAUUGGCGGGGGAGCACCACCAGGCGUGAAGCCUGCGGUUUAAUUGGAUUCAACGCCGGA